GUGUUCCCUUCAGCAGCACAUAUACUAAGAUUGGAACGAUACAAAGAAGAUUAGCAUGGCCCCUGCACAAGGAUGACGUACAAGUUCAUGAAGCAUUCUACAUUUUU
ensembl:snRNA U6 U6 spliceosomal RNA